rnacentral:rRNA from 1 species
GACGAACGCUGGCGGCGUGCUUAACACAUGCAAGUCGAACGGUGAAGGGAUCAGCUUGCUGGUUCUGGAUGAGUGGCGAACGGGUGAGUAACACGUGAGUAACCUGCCCCCUUCUUCUGGAUAACCGCAUGAAAGUGUGGCUAAUACGGGAUAUUCUGGGUCUGUCGCAUGGCGGGCCCGGGAAAGAUGCGCCUUUGGGUGUUUUUGGUGGGGGAUGGGCUCGCGGCCUAUCAGCUUGUUGGUGGGGUGAUGGCCUACCAAGGCGGUGACGGGUAGCCGGCCUGAGAGGGUGGACGGUCACACUGGGACUGAGACACGGCCCAGACUCCUACGGGAGGCAGCAGUGGGGAAUAUUGCACAAUGGGCGCAAGCCUGAUGCAGCGACGCCGCGUGAGGGAUGGAGGCCUUCGGGUUGUAAACCUCUUUCGCCAGUGAAGCAGGCCUGCUCCUUGUGGGUGG